UCAAUCCCUUAAUUUUAGGGAUUUCCAACAAACAAAUUUAUAUUUAUUAUUCAAUCCAUCUAUAUUUAUUGUCCAGUAAAUGUGCAAUGUUUGCACCCAUAUUUUAACAAGUAUGAAUUGACAAAAAAAUAAAUGACAUCCGUGAAACCUAACUUUACCCUUAAGGUUUGUUUAAUCCAUUUUUACCCUUAAGGUUUGUUUAAUCCAUGCAUGCGUGAAUUUCAAAAACUACAGAAGUUAUACCUGAGUGCCACUACCAUUGUCACUUCCAUCCCCAUUGUUCAGGCCUCCACUUCCAUUAUCAUCAUCAUUGCUCCCAAAAUUAUCAGACUUCCCA
rnacentral:lncRNA from 1 species